UAUAUUUACGUGGUCGCUUUGGUCUCCCAUGCUGGAACGGUAGCAUGAUCAAUGUCCUUUAGCGUGGAGUUCCUGCUGGCCAUACAGUUUCCAUUCUGGACCUGUUCCGUCUCUGCGCCAGCUGCAUUCCCGGCUGUGGUGGUGGAGGGCCAUUGUAAAAAUCCAGUGGAUCUGGCCAGAUCAGAUUGAGCGGUGGCAGGUGUAAUUUCUCCAAAAGUUCUUGCAUGUCCUGCUGGGUGCAAAUUAGUAUGGGACCUCCUGGUGUAACUGC